CGGUAAUAGCUCAAAUUUGAAAUCUGGCUUUCGGGUCCGAGUUGUAAUUUGUAGAGGAUGUUUCGGGCACGGUUACGGUUUAAAUUUCUUGGAACAGAAUGUCAAAGAGGGUGAGAGUCCCGUCUUGAGCCGAUUACUUCGUCCAUGUGAAACUCCUUCGAC
rnacentral:rRNA from 1 species